CAGCAGCCGCGGUAAUACGAAGGGUGCAAGCGUUACUCGGAAUUACUGGGCGUAAAGCGUGCGUAGGUGGUGGUUUAAGUCCGUUGUGAAAGCCCUGGGCUCAACCUGGGAAUGGCAGUGGAUACUGGCUCGCUAGAGUGUGUCAGAGGAUGGUGGAAUUCCCGGUGUAGCGGUGAAAUGCGUAGAGAUCGGGAGGAACAUCAGUGGCGAAGGCGGCCAUCUGGGACAACACUGACGCUGAGGCACGAAAGCGUGGGGAGCAAACAGGAUUAGAUACCCCCGUAGUCCCUGUCUCUUAUAC
rnacentral:rRNA from 1 species